rnacentral:rRNA from 1 species
UACGUAGGGGGCAAGCGUUGUCCGGAUUUAUUGGGCGUAAAGAGCGUGUAGGCGGCCAGACAGGUCAGCUGCGAAAACUCGAGGCUCAACCUCGAGACGUCGGUUGAAACCGUCUGGCUAGAGUCCGGAAGAGGAGAGUGGAAUUCCCGGUGUAGCGGUGAAAUGCGCAGAUAUCGGGAAGAACACCCGUGGCGAAGGCGGCCAACUGGACCACAACUGACGCUGAGGCGCGAAAGCGUGGGGAGCAAACAGG